rnacentral:rRNA from 1 species
AUUGAACGCUGGCGGCAGGCUUAACACAUGCAAGUCGAGCGAGUGGCGGACGGGUGAGUAAUGUAUGGGAAACUGCCUGAUGGAGGGGGAUAACUACUGGAAACGGUAGCUAAUACCGCCUACCAUUAGCUGUGCCCAGAUGGGAUUAGCUAGUAGGUGGGGUAAUGGCUCACCUAGGCGACGAUCCCUAGCUGGUCUGAGAGGAUGACCAGCCACACUGGAACUGAGACACGGCCCGGACUCCUACGGGAGGCAGCAGGGGGGAAGAUUGCACAAUGGGGGCAAGCCUGAUGCAGCCAUGCCGCGUGGGUGAAGAAGGCCUUCGGGUUGUAAAGCACUUUCAGCGAGGAAGCGUUAUUCGCAGAAGAAGCACCGGCUAACUCCGUGCCAGCAGCCGCGGUAAUAC